CAGGGUACCUUUGACACUUCUUAGUUCAACCAAAUGAACUAAAAUUUUAAAGUUACAUAACUUUUUGAAAAACUAGUUCAUUUGUUUGAACUAAGGAGGAUCAAAGGAUACCUG
rfam:Brachypodium distachyon strain Bd21 chromosome 1, whole genome shotgun sequence.